GAGCCCUUUUCUACUUUGCCUGCAUGGGUCGCAGAUCUGGAUAACCAUUUUGAUGCAAGGUUACAGGAGCUGACUGAAGCAAAGCUUGCUAAAUUUAGAGUGGCUCUAGAAAAGGUAAAGCUGAGAUAGUGGUAGUACAACAAUACCAGUUUAUGAUGCCUGCAGGGCAGACAACUAAGGAAUUUGAGGAUGAACCUUCAAUCUUUGAUCUUACUGCGGAGCCAGUGAAAAAAAAAGAAGAA
rnacentral:lncRNA from 1 species